UACGUAGGGUGCAAGCGUUAAUCGGAAUUACUGGGCGUAAAGCGUGCGCAGGCGGUGAUGUAAGACAGAUGUGAAAUCCCCGGGCUCAACCUGGGAACUGCAUUUGUGACUGCAUCGCUGGAGUGCGGCAGAGGGGGAUGGAAUUCCGCGUGUAGCAGUGAAAUGCGUAGAUAUGCGGAGGAACACCGAUGGCGAAGGCAAUCCCCUGGGCCUGCACUCGACGCUCAUGCACGAAAGCGUGGGGAGCAACAGG
rnacentral:rRNA from 1 species